rnacentral:piRNA from 1 species
UUUCAAUCAGAGGAAUGCUAUAAU